UACGUAGGGUGCAAGCGUUAUUCGGAAUUACUGGGCGUAAAGCGUGCGCAGGCGGUUAUGUAAGUCAGGGGUGAAAUCCCCGGGCUUAACCUGGGAACUGCAUUUGUGACUGCAUCGCUGGAGUGCGGCAGAGGGGGGUGGAAUUCCGCGUGUAGCAGUGAAAUGCGUAGAUAUGCGGAGGAACACCGAUGGCGAAGGCAAUCCCCUGGGCCUGCACUGACGCUCAUGCACGAAAGCGUGGGGAGCAAACAGG
rnacentral:rRNA from 1 species